rnacentral:rRNA from 2 species
CCAAGGAGUCUAACAUGUGCGCGAGUCAUGGGGUUCUACGAAACCUAAAGGCGCAAUGAAAGUGAAGGCCGCCUCCGGCUGGCCUAGGUAGGAUCCGUCGACCCGUCGGCGGCGCACUACCGGCCCGUUCCGUCAGCACCGUCUGUGGAGCGGAGCAAGAGCGUACACGUUGGGACCCGAAAGAUGGUGAACUAUGCCUGAGUAGGAUGAAGCCAGAGGAAACUCUGGUGGAGGUCCGUAGCGAUUCUGACGUGCAAAUCGAUCGUCAAACUUGGGUAUAGGGGCGAAAGACUAAUCGAACCAUCUA